UACGGGGGGAGCAAGCGUUGUUCGGAUUUACUGGGCGUAAAGGGCGCGUAGGCGGUCAGCACAAGUCAGUUGUGAAAUCUCCGGGCUUAACCCGGAAAGGUCAACUGAUACUGUGCGACUAGAGUGCGGAAGGGGCAACUGGAAUUCUCGGUGUAGCGGUGAAAUGCGUAGAUAUCGAGAGGAACACCUGCGGCGAAGGCGGGUUGCUGGGCCGACACUGACGCUGAAACACGAAAGCGUGGGUAGCAAACAGG
rnacentral:rRNA from 1 species